rnacentral:rRNA from 1 species
CCUACGGGUGGCAGCAGUGAGGAAUAUUGGUCAAUGGACGAGAGUCUGAACCAGCCAAGUAGCGUGAAGGAUGACUGCCCUAUGGGUUGUAAACUUCUUUUAUAAAGGAAUAAAACGAGGCACGUGUGCCUUUUUGCAUGUACUUUAUGAAUAAGGAUCGGCUAACUCCGUGCCAGCAGCCGCGGUAAUACGGAGGAUCCGAGCGUUAUCCGGAUUUAUUGGGUUUAAAGGGAGCGUAGAUGGGUUGUUAAGUCAGUUGUGAAAGUUUGCGGCUCAACCGUAAAAUUGCAAUUGAUACUGGCAGUCGUGAGUACAGUUGAGGCAGGCGGAAUUCGUGGUGUAGCGGUGAAAUGCUUAGAUAUCACGAAGAACCCCGAUUGCGAAGGCAGCUUACUAAACUGUGACUGACAUUGAUGCUCGAAAGUGUGGGUAUCAAACAGGAUUAGAUACCCCAGUAGUC